GCCAAAAACCCAACCCAACUUUAUAUGUAUUUUAUUAAAAUACUUUUCCUUCCCUAAUAAACCAUUUUAACAUUUUAGUAAAGGAGAUUGAAAAUUUAUUGGAGUUUUAAUAAUAGUACCGCAAGGGAAAGAUGAAAUAUUAAAUGAAAAUUCUUAAGCAAUAAAAAGUAAAGAUAACCUCUUGUACCUUUUGCAUCAUGGUUUAACUAGUUUAAUCAAGCAAAAUGUAUUUAAGUUUGACUCCCCGAAAUUAAGUGAGCUACUUCAGGAUAGCUAAAAGAGCAAACCCGUCUCUGUAGCAAAAGAGUGGGAUAAUCCCCAAGUAGCGGUGAUAGACCUAACGAACUUAAUGAUAGCUGGUUACUCAAGAAAAGGAUAUAAGUCCAACCUGAAGCCUUCAUAGUCUUUAAAAACAUCACCCUGUCUUCAGUGUAAUUCAAAUAAGGUACAGCCUAUUUGAAACAGGAAACAACCUAAACUAAAGGAUAAAACCGGCUCUUAAACAACUCAGUAGGCCUAAAAGCAGCCAUCUCUAAAUAGCGUCAAAGCUUAAUUGUUCCAGUGCCUAAUUUUACUAAUACUAUUUUAAUCCUUUACCGAUACUGAGUAAUUCUAUAAUAUUAUAGAAAAUUUUAUGUUAAAACUAGUAACAAGAAAAAGACUUUCUCUUUAAUGUGAGUGUAAAUCAGAAAGGACAAGCCGCUGAUACUUAACAUUACUGAACCAGAAGUAGAAACUCACCAAGAAAACUCUACUUUUACUUAUGUUAACCUAACACAAGAACAUUACAAGAAAGAUUAAAAGAAAAAGAAGGAACUCGGCAAAUAUUAGCCUCGCCUGUUUACCAAAAACAUCGCCUCCUGUAUUCUAUAAGAGGUCCAGCCUGCCCAGUGACUUUGUUUAACGGCCGCGGUAUCCUAACCGUGCGAAGGUAGCGUAAUCACUUGUUCUUUAAAUAAGGACUAGUAUGAAUGGCAUCACGAAGGUUAUACUGUCUCCUUUUUCUAAUCAGUGAAACUAAUUUUCCCGUGAAGAAGCGGGAAUAUAUAUAUAAGACGAGAAGACCCUAUGGAGCUUUAAAUAAUUCAACAUUUGCUUAAACAUUACAAAUUUCAGAACUCUAACUCCUGCAAGCAAUAUGAUUGUAAAUUUUUGGUUGGGGUGACCACGGAGAAUAGCAUAACCUCCAUGUUGAAAGAGAAUUUUCUCUAAGCUAAGAACUACAUAUCUAGGCAUCAACACACUGGCAUUUCUUGACCCAAUAUAAUUGACCAACGAACCAAGUUACCCUAGGGAUAACAGCGCAAUCUACUUCAAGAGCUCCUAUCGACAAGUGGGUUUACGACCUCGAUGUUGGAUCAGGGUAUCCUAGUGGUGUAGCCGCUACUAAAGGUUCGUUUGUUCAACGAUUAAAACCCUACGUGAUCUGAGUUCAGACCGGAGUAAUCCAGGUCAGUUUCUAUCUAUAUUUGACUUUCUCCUAGUACGAAAGGACCGGAGAAACGUGGCCUAUACAGACGCAAGCCACAGUUAUUUAAUUAUGACUUAGACUUAAUAAUGCAGUAACCUAAUACAAUUUUCUAAACAAGAACCG
rnacentral:rRNA from 1 species